UCGGGAAUUUUGCGCAAUGGACGAAAGUCUGACGCAGCAACGCCGCGUGGAGGACGAAGGUCUUCGGAUCGUAAACUCCUGUCAGGCGGGACGAAGGCUGCGGGGUAAAUAAUCCCGUAGCUUGACGGUACUGCCAGAGGAAGCCCCGGCUAACUCCGUGCCAGCAGCCGCGGUAAUACGGAGGGGGCGAGCGUUAUUCGGAAUUAUUGGGCGUAAAGGGCGCGUAGGCGGCCCGGUAAGUCAAAGGUGAAAUCCCUCGGCUCAACUGAGGAACUGCCUUUGAAACUGUCGGGCUUGAGGCCGGGAGGGGGUAGCGGAAUUCCCAGUGUAGCGGUGAAAUGCGUAGAUAUUGGGAGGAACACCGGUGGCGAAGGCGGCUACCUGGACCGGUUCUGACGCUGAGGCGCGAAAGCGUGGGUAGCAAA
rnacentral:rRNA from 1 species